AUUGAACGCUGGCGGCAUGCCUUACACAUGCAAGUCGAACGGUAACAGGUCUUCGGAUGCUGACGAGUGACGAACGGGUGAGUAAUACAUCGGAACGUGCCUAGUAGUGGGGGAUAACUACUCGAAAGAGUGGCUAAUACCGCAUGAGAUCUACGGAUGAAAGCAGGGGAUCGCAAGACCUUGUGCUACUAGAGCGGCCGAUGGCAGAUUAGGUAGUUGGUGGGAUAAAAGCUUACCAAGCCGACGAUCUGUAGCUGGUCUGAGAGGACGAUCAGCCACACUUGAAUGAGACACGGCCCAGACUCCUACGGGAGGCAGCAGUGGGGAAUUUUGGACAAGGGGCGCAAGCCUGAUCCAGCAAUGCCGAGUGCAGGAUGAAGGCCUUCGGGUUGUAAACUGCCUUUGUACGGAACGAAAAGCCCUGGGUUAAUACCCUGGGGUCAUGACGGUACCGUAAGAAUAAGCACCGGCUAACUACGUGCCAGCAGCCGCGGUAACAC
rnacentral:rRNA from 1 species